rnacentral:misc_RNA from 1 species
AAGAAGGCGGUUCUUCAUAUUAGCAUAGUGAGGGUUGUGCAAUUCUUCUGCUGAGUAUAUUAUCCAACAACUUCAAUUGUCAGGUUGUCUCAAUCACAUUAAGUUAUGCUUUUUACUGUUUUAUACUUUGUAUAGAUAUUUAUUGUUACAGUUAAUGAGAAAUUUUUUUUGUUUCUUUCACAUGAUAAUAUGACUUGAAUGUUUGUUAUUUUAACUUAUUGGCCAAUUGCGGACCAUUCUUGCGUUAUAUGUUAAUUACCGCACCAAGAAUACGUCUGUCGUGCUAGACUAUUUCUUGUCAGUGCUAAUAUGUGGCUCAGUAUUGAAAAUUAGGGCCUUUGGUCAGUAGUAUCUCAUAACAUGUAUAAUAUGUUUCAUCAACUUCAUUUUCAACAUUAACUGACUAUUCUGUGUUAAUGAAAUAUUUAUAAUAAACAUUGGUAUUUGAUUAUAAAAGAUGCUUGAAGUUCGAUAUUGCCUUCUUCAUCAAUCUUUCAGCAUCGCCUAAAUUUGCUUUAAAAAAAUAUAAAAAUUGAG